GCCUUAAUCCUAUUCCCCUGUAGAAACUGCAAAGUUUAUCUUCAUUGACCCUUCUGCUCUUUGUUCCUUCUGGGUGAUGUUCCUUUCUCCGCUCCUGGGGUCUUUCUGCUCUAGCAAGCAAUAUACACAGGUAUAACCUUAGGCAAAUCCUCUUAUCAGUGAUUCAUAGUUCAGACAUUGAUGUUCCCUUUGCUUUUCUUGCUAGAAUGCUUGCAUUCCGUGUUCUCUCCAUCCAUAAUUUUUCUGGUUGACUGUAGCUUAUUUGAUUAAUGUAAGUUAAGGUGUUAGUUUAAACUAUGCUUGCCUUUAAACUAAGAUAUUAGCUUAAAUUAGCUUUAUUUAUGCACACAUUACGCUUCCUAGAAAAUAUUUGCAUUAUAACAAGACUUUUCAGUGUCUCAACUUCAAUGUAGAUAUUUAAUACUUUGUAACUAGAUGGUGGUCAAAAUGUUUUGGGCUUCUGUUCUCUUAUUUAUAGAGACAGGAGUUGAACUAAUUGACAUGUAGAGUUAUUCCAGUAUUGUGAUUCUAACUGAAUAGAUGUGAAGGUGGGUAAUUAAUCAUGUCAUUUUCCCCAUUCCUACAAUAAUAAGAAAAAUCUCUAUCUGCUCCAAAUUAAAUAAUUAAUGAUAAGGAAAGGCAUACCCAUGCUGAAUUUGCCAAAGAUUUACCAAGUGUAUGCAUCUGGGGAGCAUUGUGGAAUCAUUUGCUAUAUUCAUAUGCUACAAAUAAACAGACGGACGGAAAAGCAAAUGAUUCUCUAUCACUUUAACAAUAUUUUAUUUUGCUUUCUCUCUGCAGGCGUGACUACAUUCCGUAGUUAAAAUAUGCUUUUGCCACAGAAAGAACAGGUUGCAACAUGUGUCCUAUGUCUCAGGCCAUUGGCUCCUAGUUUGCCACUAAAGUAUUGAGGAGAUGCUACAUUUUGGGCUUUGUUUACUAAAUCUCGGGUCUGCAGGAGAUUCGUUUAUUAGCAUUCAGUUCAUAAAUGUGUCAUAUUAGUUGAAGGCUAAAUUGGUAAUCUUAUUCUAUUAAGUUAAUUGAUUUUAUAUAUUCUUCUUGCCUUUUCAAGGCAAAGGGAGAUAAAAAAAAGAAGGGAAGAGGGAGAGAGGAGAGAGAUAUAAUUAAGAGAGAGAGACAAUUCUAUCUACUCAAAGUAAAAACAAAUUUGAGAAGUUAAAUAAUUGAGCUCAGUUUUCUGCCUGUGAGAUGGGAGAACAAUGUGGUGGAAAUUCAGCACCCCAGUGAAUGCUCAAUAAUUAUUUCCAUUCGCUCUUUUGUGAUGGGGUUAAAUCUGAAAUAAAUGGAAAAGGUACAAAAUGAUACUUAUCUUUUUUUGUCUUCCUCAUCUAAUUGGGGGCUUUAGGCUAAGUGAUCAAGACUAUAGAUCUGCCUCUAUUCAUGACCUAAUUUCUUUCCAAACUCCAGAAUUUCUGGGUUUGUAAGAGUGGUGCAACCAUAGGGAAUACAAUUGAUUAAGACAAAGUCACUAGAACCAUGGUGACGAGCUGUGUCUUCAGCAACUGUGGAAAUGGCAACAGGGAGAAAAUAAUUGAGCAUAACUAGGCAGUUAGAGAGGAUUUUGAGCUUUUACUGAGUUCUCAGAUACUUUCUUCAUUCAGUUGUACAAAGAUUUAAUUGCAUUUUCCCCUUCUCUGAAUUCUAAUCUUUUUAUUUCACAAAGCUCGAGUGAUUUCUGAACAUCACAUUCCACUUCUGCAUAGAUAAGAGCUGCUUCAUAAAGUUCUGUUAAAGGACAUUGUUUACUAUUUCUCUCAGUUUGUAGAAUGCUAUGGCAGAGCGGAUAAAGGAGCCAAGGUUGCUUUUUAUAUCUUUCACUAGCAAGACUUCAUGGCGUCUUUGUUUUCUUGUCAUACUAUUGGCUGCAUGCCACUAUAGGCAGAUCAUUUUUUAAGUCAAAUUUGUAUAAAUCUUAUUCUAAUUUAUUUAUUUUAUUAACAAGACUAUGUUUUGCAUGCUGGUGUCCAAGUAAGGGACUCUGAAGGUUUAUUUAAAUGUAAACUGCUACCAAGAUGAUAAUUACACCAAUAUAGAGGUAACCUCGAGCGGACCAUUUUCGUAAUAGUGUACAUGCUCUCUUCCAUAUGCUUUUAACUGACAUAACUUUUCAUAUUUGUUCAACGGAGCAGGGUUUUUUGUUGAUUAAAAAUACAUGUAACAAAUUAGAGAUGUUUAGAAACAAAAAGUAAAUUACUUUUUCAAUCCAAAUAAAAUUAUUUUUACUGUCGCAUAUGAGUGUCUGUUCACUAUCCACAUGCACAUGCAUUUUACCUAAUUGUGGUUAUUAUGCAUUUGGCUUUUCUGCUUCUGAAAUCAUGUUACAAACAUUUCUCUUUCUCUUGAGAGACUGCAGAGUUAUGAAUUCCAAUCUUAUUCUCUGUUGAUAUUCCAUAAUUUGCUAAGCCAUUCCUUCUUUUAAGACGUUUAUGUUCUUAUCCAUCUGUUAUCUACUAUCUUUAUAUUUUUGUAUUAAAGAUUAUUUUAUGAUCUUGCACAUGUAUAUUUGUAUAUGUGUGUAGUUUCUGUUCAAUUAUUUCUCUAUGAUGAAUUCCUAGAAGUGGAAUUACAAGACCAACAAUUAUAAAUUUCUAUGUCACUCCUGCUGUGUACUUUUGCAAUUUUUCCUAAGAAGGUUGAUAUAAACUUUUUUAAAUGCUUUACAAAUUGCAUGAUUUUGGAAGUGUCAACAGCAUGUAAAAAUUAUGAUUGUUUGAAAAUAUAAUGUGAAAGUCUGGCCUAGUGUCAAUAUACAUAAAAGCCCCAAAAAUGUUUUUCUUUGAAUCAGAAUAUUAAUGUUUUGAUUUUUAUUUACUGUACUCAAUAUUUAAUAUCAUAGUUAAAAAAACAAUUAAGCAAUCAAGAUUUAGAGAUUUUUGAAGAAGUUUUGCCACUUUUUUUUCUACUUGUUUCAUAUGUGGAGAGAUCCACAAGCUUAGUAAGAAAAUAUUGCUUUUAGCGCGAUGCACGUCUAACACAUUAUGCUAUCCUGAAUACUCUUUAUCAUAUCCUAGUAAUUUUGCUAUAAAUAAUCUUUCAGAAAAUAUUUUUAUAGAAGACUGCUAACUGAAAGUGUGCUUGUCAGAUAAAUUGAGGUCUUCUUUUGCCAGGCUGUAAAGACUUUUUUGCUGUUCUUUAUCCAUAUUGUAGUGAUUCAAGAGUGUCUGGAAUUACAUUUUACCUUUUGUGAAAAUUUUGAAGAUUAUAACAAUGAAAGCAAAUCACAACAUGUGAUUAAAAUGGGGCCUCCUUAAUAGUUUAUUAACCUUUAGAUACACUGAGGAAAGCAGACAGAUUUCAUCUUAUGGACCAAGUCAGAUACACUAGUGUGGCUGUCUGGACCGUGUCGUUGGGAAUGGCAGAGAAGACUCAUCUUGUCAGCAGGAGAGCAUGCUGGGAUGCUGAGACACAGUGAUUUGUCUUGUAUGUCGUUGGAACAGGGUGGGAGUAUAUUGGCCACAUUCCUACCAUCCAGUAUCUACGUCUUUUUAUACUAAUCCUUCCAGUUGAUCAAUAUGGAUAAACGGGUGUAGGAAACCGAGAAAGGGCUAUAAACCAAAUGCUGCUAAUUGUCACCCAUCUACAAGUUCACAUGAAGUCAUGGCUACAUCUGUCUAAACUGGGCCACCCUCACCUCUCACUUGUCUGACUCAGGGGCAGUGUACAACAAUGGAAGCAAUGUCACCCCCUAAGAGACAUUUAGGAAAUGUGCAAAAAGCUAUAUGGUUCUCACAACGAUUGGUGGGUGCUACUGACUUUGCAUAGGUAGGGAUGAGAGAGCCUAGAAAGCUGAGAUGCAACUUUGUUCUGCACAACAAAGAAAUCUUCAAUGUCUGCAGGAAUCUCCAGCGUCCAGCAAUGCAAACCUCAGCAUGAGUACGUCCCAAGAGCUGGACAGGAAGAGUGCCACCCCAGCCCCACCCAGCACAAACACUCAAAAAGUGAGCUUAUUAAAGAAUUUAGGGGGUGCCUCCUUCACUUGGGAUCCACACAGCUGUUAUAGCCCUAAAUGUCCUCUCUUUUUAUCAGGCCCCAGGGAAACACUCAUUUUAACAUCUUCAAAACAAAAGAUGACUGUGUCUGAAUGCGGUGAGAUUUCUGGGUGCUGUCGCUGCUUGAAGGGGUGCAGGGAGUACUUGAGAGACAUAAAUGCUUACACAGAGAAAAGGAAAAUUAACUCGUCAAGUUCUUUCUUUCAGGUAACAUAAAUGCAAUCAAUUCUGGAAUAAUUAGAAACUGUUUGCUGUUUGCAAGAAGUGCUGAGCAUCCAUUUUCUUGUUUCUCUCGAUGCUCCAGUUUGUGGUUCCAGAGUUAUUCACAAAUUCAUGUUAUGGUCUGAACACUUGUACUUGGCUCCAUAAGGAACAUUUUAAAACAUGAGGUAGUUCAUAUUACUCUUAAAUCUGUGUAUUUGCAGGCCUGUAUGUAAUGAGCAAGAAACAAGAUACCAAUUCAUUACACUGGCCACAAAAAGGACACUGAAUGCUAAAUGUUGAGAAUAGUUGUAUUUUAUAAACUUGCCUAAUAUGAAUUAAUUAAAAUUUCUACUUAUUUAAAUAUGUUUGAUUUGAAAUUUGGUAUUAAUUUAUAUAAAUAUGAGGUUUGCCUUUUAAUUUAAUAAAGUGUUAAAUAAAACUUCUUUGGAAAACAUAAAUUUAAAAAAGUCCAACAAUUUAGGAGGAGGUCAUUA
rnacentral:lncRNA from 1 species